GUGGCCAAGUGUUUGCCUCAACUAUUUUGAACUUAUUGCUGUUUGGAAGGAUUAGUAUAGUCUCAUGUCUUUCUCAUCCAACCAAACUCAAAGAGAUUGGGGGGAGGUAGUUGUGGCAUCUUUUAGCUUACAAUUUGCGUAUACUUGAAUCUGGUAUGUGAUUUUUAUGAGUUAGUGGGAGUUAGUAUCAUACAUGCUCUGCCAAGACAUGCCCCGCAGCCAUAUUGUUGUUGUUGCCUCGCAGGCCCCUUCGAACAUAAGAUAUCUGUUUUCUUAUUUUUGUUGAUUUUGUUAAUAUUUCUUGCAUCCGUUAUAACAUGGGGAUUAUGGCAAGAUCUAAUUCCUAGAUUUCAAAAGCUUAACAUCAAUUUUGUGUCUUGAUGAGUUAUAAUACUACAAUUAUAACAUCUAGAAAAAUAUUAUAAUAAUGCUUAUGAUGUUCCGUUUUAAUUGGCUACUACUUAUUGACUUCAGCCAAGUUCCACUUGAAGGGAGGUUUGUUCAUUUUGGUCACCCAAUGACAGCAGUGAACUAUGUGUGUGGUGAACUGUAUUAAUUUCUUUGUGCUUUUGUGCUUUUGUGCAGAUUUGUGUGUGGUGUUGGCAUCACAUAAUGGAUAUGGCCUAGAAAGAUGAGUCGGAGGGACGCUGCCUGCAUGUUGCACUACAUAUGAUAAAGAACGAAUUGUAGGGAUGGCUGCAAACUGUGAAAGGUUGUUUAACUGCUGCAGCCGCUGCCUCGCAGGCCUUGCUGUUGCAGCAGUAGCCGCUGCCUGUGGUGGAUAUUGGAGCCAAUUCUCCACUGGAGCUCCCAUCACCGCCACUCUCUUUCCCGGCGAUGGUAUUGACCCUGAAAUUGCUGAAUCCAUCAAACAUAGUUUACAAGCUCUGCACAAACCAGAGAAUCUAAGCCAGUGACGUGGUGUGAGAUUCAGGCGGACGCUGCAUCUCUGUUCGCUGCUGUUCUGCUACUACGCUGCUGUUGUUCUGCUACUAUGCUGCUGCUGCUCUGCUAGUGAUUGUAUGUAGGAAGUUGUUGCUCUUGUUAUAGUGAAUAUAUCCAAUGUAUUUCUUUUUCUUUGUUUUUUGCAAGUGUAAAAUUACAGGUUAUCAAUGAAAUUAUCAGUUUCAAGUA